CCCGUUGACGAAUUUGAAGAAUAGAGCUAUGUUCUCCUUGCGCUUGUGGAAGAGAUGCGAAGACAUUCAAGACCCCGGGGCGGUACCGGGCGGCUCCACCAAGGGCAGUCUGUUCAAAGCGGCGGAAACGCCGGAUGAACUCGACACAGACUGUCGUUGAUGGGGCCGAAAUAGGAUCGAUUGGUGUCGUAGUUGAUUGGAGAGCGUCGGGUGGGUUCCGUUAUUGAUCCGCUGCAAAUAACUGCAAACUUCAACUUCGCGCCGAAAGGUGCAAUGGCAGCCUGACUGCCUGCGCUCGCAGGGGAGCGUCGAAACAGAAGGAAGACCUU
rnacentral:tmRNA from 1 species